UUUUUGCCGGUUCUUCCCGCUGAGGAAGUGUCGCUCAAGACGCUGGCCUAUGAGUUGUGAUUUCUGCCUUUUCCCCUUCCUCCUUGGGCUAAGCCAGACCAGAAAGGGCCCCGUGCGCAACGUGCUUCACAAUCUCUCAGGGAAAGCGGCUAACGUGGCGCUACUCCGCCUCCCCUGUUCCUUACCCUUGGGGCGGCCGCCAUGUUUCCUGAACACAAAAUGGCGACACGUGGUUAGCAUUCGUCGCCAACGAGAAAUUGGGGUCGGCCCGAAAGCUCUAGAAUGCACCCCUCUUCCUCCCCGGGGCCUUCCACCUCCGCGAGUUUUAUGACUUAAAAAAGCCCACAGGCUGGUCUGAAGGUCGGAGGCCUAAUUUUAACGCGUUUUCCUCCCUUUAAUUUGAAACGGGAACGCGAAUGACUGUAAAAUGUGGGCACAAUAUUUAAUCUCUCGCCUUUUUAAAGCUUAAUAGUGGAUAAUAGGGGGGCAGUAUCAAGGGAUAAUUUGGGUCCCCACAGUACCAAAGCAUUUAGAAACCUCUGUUUAAUUUAAGGAAUGAGAUAAGUUACUGCUUUUCUAGACUUCCUAGCAUGGGCUGUUGUGCUGGAGAGAACGAGAGCUACGAAGAGACUACAGUGCCUCUGACUUUUUCAUAGGACAGUUGGCCGAGGAAGACAAACAUAAAGAUGAAGUGCUUAAUUCAAGGUCACACAAUGUCGGGGAUGGACCUCCAGAUUUCCUUACUGAGACGGAGUCUUGCUAUGUUGCCCAGGCUGGUCUUGAACUCCUCACCUCAAGCGAUCCUCCCGUCUUGGCCUCCCAAGUGUCAGGAUUACGGGCAUGUGCUAUCACACCCAACCUGAUACAUUGCCUUUAUAAAUUUUUUUUUCUUUAUUCUAAAAACCAGAAAAAACAAAACUGGAUACAUGUGCAGAACAUGCAGGUGAGACGUGGUCUUGUAACACAGUGGUUAAGAAUGUGACUUUGGAGCCAGCCUGCUAGGGGCUGAAUUCUGACUCAGCCAUUUACUAACUGUGUGACCUUAGGCUGGAGUGCAAUGGCAUGAUCUCGGCUCAUCACAACCUCUGCUUCCUGGGUUCAAGCGAUUCUCCUGCCUCAGCCUCCCGAGUACCUGGGACUACAGGCACUCGCCACCAUGCCCGGCUGAUUUUUGUAUUUUUAAUAGAGAUGGUUUCACUAUGUUGGCCAGGCUGGUCUCGAACUCCUGACCUUGUGAUCUGCCCACCUCAGCCUCGAAAAGUGCUGGGAUUACAGGCGUGAGCCACUGCGCCCAGCCUUGUAUUUUUUUUCAGUUUGGGUAGCUGUCCCUAAUUCAUUUGUUAAAGGAGAAGCAAGAGCAAGAACCUUUAAUCUGUUCUCCUCUUCCCUAAUUUGAAAGUAGCUUGUUAUUUUGAAUAUCACUUUCUCUGAAAUAGCACAUCUCCAUCUCAGAGAAUGGAUUUAAUGUUUGGAUACAGCCAAAAGUCAUUUCAUUACCAAACCAUGGGGUGAAUAUACCAUGUAAAGCAGUUUGGGAUCAGAACUCACAGUCUGAAUUGUAAGUGAUGAGACUGCUGUCUCUCUGCUACAGCUUCUUGGCUGGCUCUGAAGGCUCUUUGAAGGCAGAUCCUAACAAGGGGACUGCUUUGAAGGGCCAUUGUUCAUUUGGAAUGAUAAAGUCUAUGUUGUUCAAAAAACAAAUGCUUGUAGCAGGUAUUUUUUCACUCCAGACUGAGAAUAUUGGUGGGAUAUUGAUAAGGGGUACUGAAUGGUAAUAAACAUGUGCUCUAGCUCUGUGCUAGUCAGCUUAUUUCAGAACUCUAGUUUGAUUCAGUUUCUUGCCUCUGACUCAAAAUGGAGGGAGAGUGAUUUUUACAUAAGAGAACACACCCACAUAUCCUUUUGGCAGCAGCUACCUGCCAGAGAUGUUGAAGAAGAGUAGCCAACCUUUACACAGCAGAUAUUGUGUGCCAGUCAUAGUCCUAAGUAUAAUACCUUACAUGUAUAAACUUCUUAUAAGGUUGGUGCUCUGUACCGAAUUGAAUAGUAUCCCCCAAAAUUCAUGUUGUCCCAGAACCUAUGAAAGUGAUC
rnacentral:lncRNA from 1 species